AAGGAUUUAAGUUAAAAAAACUAUUAACCUUCAAAGUUAAAAUUAGAUCAAAAUCUAAGCCUUA
rnacentral:tRNA from 1 species